GACGAACGCUGGCGGCGUGCUAAACACAUGCAAGUCGAACGGUAAGGCCCUUCGGGGUACACGAGUGGCGAACGGGUGAGUAACACGUGGGUGAUCUGCCCUGCACUUCGGGAUAAGCCUUGGAAACUGGGUCUAAUACCGGAUAUGACUCCUGGCUUCAUGGUUGGGGGUGGAAAGCUUUUGCGGGUUGGGAUGGGCCCGCGGCCUAUCGGCUUGUUGGUGGGGGAAUGGCCUACCAAGGCGACGACGGGGAGCCGGCCUGAGAGGGUGACCGGUCACACUGGGGCUGAGAUACGGCCCAGACUCCUACAGGAGUAAGCAGUGGGGAAUAUUGCCCAAUGGGCGCAAGCCUGAUGCAGCGACGCCGCGUGAGGGAUGACGGCCUUCGGGUUGUAAACCUCUUUCAGCUAUGACGAAGCGCAAGUGACGGUAGUAGCAGAAGAAGGACCGGCCAACUACGUGCCAGCAGCCGCCGUAA
rnacentral:rRNA from 1 species